rnacentral:rRNA from 1 species
CCUACGGGUGGCAGCAGUGGGGAAUAUUGCGCAAUGGGCGGAACCCUGAUGCAGCAAUGCCGCGUGAAGGAAGACGGCCUUCGGAUUGUAAAGUUCUUUCAAUAGGGAAGAAAGAAAUGAGGGUAAUUACAUAAGAAGUCCCCGUUAACUACGGGCCAGCAGCCGCGGUAAUACGUAGGGUGCAAGCGUUAUCCGGAAUUACUGGGUGUAAAGGGAGAGUAGGCGGCAAGGUAAGCGAUAUGUGAAAGCCUUGGGCUUAAGCUGAGAAUUGCAUAAGGAAAUGUCGGGCUAGAGUACAGGAGAGGAGAGUGGAAUUCCAGGUGUAGCGGUGAAAUGCGUAGAGAUUAGGAAGAAUACCAGUGGCGAAGGUGGCUUUCUGGACAGAGACUGACGCUGAGGCGCGAAAGCGUGGGGAGCGAACAGGAUUAGAUACCCGUGUAGUC